rnacentral:rRNA from 1 species
GAUGAACGCUGGCGGCGUGCCUAAUACAUGCAAGUCGAGCGAACAGACGAGGAGCUUGCUCCUCUGACGUUAGCGGCGGACGGGUGAGUAACACGUGGAUAACCUACCUAUAAGACUGGGAUAACUUCGGGAAACCGGAGCUAAUACCGGAGAAUAUAUUGAACCGCAGGGUUCAAUAGUGAAAGACGGUUUUGCUGUCACUUAUAGAUGGAUCCGCGCCGCAUUAGCUAGUUGGUAAGGUAACGGCUUACCAAGGCAACGAUGCGUAGCCGACCUGAGAGGGUGAUCGGCCACACUGGAACUGAGACACGGUCCAGACUCCUACGGGAGGCAGCAGUAGGGAAUCUUCCGCAAUGGGCGAAAGCCUGACGGAGCCACGCCGCGUGAGUGAUGAAGGUCUUCGGAUCGUAAAACCCUGUUAUUAGGGAAGAACAAAUGUGUAAGUAACUAUGCACGUCUUGACGGUACCUAAUCAGAAAGCCACGGCUAACUACGUG